CUAUUUAACGUAGGUAUGUUGUCGCUAUAUUUUGGAUCAGAAAAUCCCCCACGAAUCAAUAUAAAAUAAGCAUCGCUGUUCAGAAACACGCUACACUGUUUUCAAAGACCAGACGGGCAAAAUGAAACUACUAUUCCACAUUCUUCUCAUCGUGCUCAUCGUAGCAACAUGCUUCAUAUGUGAGGCUGUAUCUGCUCCCAGCGAUACCGUAAAGCGUGAAGCUGCCCCCGAUACAUGUAGAUUUAUUAAUGGAAUGGUGUAUUGUACUACAGGUUUCUUUGGGUUGGGAUAAAUGGUUGUUGAUUCAAAUACAUUUUUGCCCGAA